ensembl:lncRNA
CUUCAGUAAACAUUUUUUUUUUUAAAGAUUUUAUUUUUCCUUUUUCUCCCCAAAGGCCCCCGGUACAUAGUUGUGUAUUUUUAGUAGUGGGUCCUUCUAGUUGUGGCAUGUGGGACGCCGCCUCAGCAUGGCUUGAUGAGUGGUGCCAUGUCCGCACCCAGGAUCUGAACUGGUGAAACCGUGGGCCUCCAAAGCAGAGCAGGCAAACUUAACCACUUGCCACGGGGCCCGCCCCUAAAUGGUUUAUACCACAAGUUUUGCAUGCUGGACUUAAAUAAAAGACAGUACUUCAAAAGAAGUUGAAAGUACUUCGUAAGCUCUAAUCGUUGCUGAAGAUAAUGUGAUGUUUAUCUUAUUGGUUGAAACUGUUGUAUUGUGCAAAUCACCAUUUAUUUGAUAAAAAAUAGUGCCUCCUAGGUUGAUCAUGAUGCGCUUGUAUUGCUCCUGCACAAUGCUGGUGGCCUCGUAGGCACUUAAUAAGUGCUUAUUGAUUGCCUGGUCACUGUGAUCAUAGAUAUUUUUACCAGCUCUAUGAGUCCUUAUUUUCCAUCUUGUAAUAAUAAUAGUAGCUAAAUUUAUUGAGUGCUUACUAAGUAAUGUGAUAAGUACUUCAUAUGUACUAUCUUUUAAGGUAAAAGGAUGCAAUUUACUUUUGAGAAUUUUCUGUAAUUAUCUCCAUUGAUUGUAGUUUCACAAGUUUCUGAUCAUUUCUUUGUCUUUUUUAGAUUAUUUUGAACGGCCAUUUUUUAUCAAACCUCAGGCACUUUGAUGCUGAUGCUUUCUUGAUGUUUCCAAGAGAUGUCAACAUAAGGUUUUCAGCAACUACAUCCUGCUCUUGGAUGACAGCAUUGUAGACUGGAGGUCAGGAGAGGCAGUCUGUGGGAUCCUGCAUACUUCACAUAAAUGCCACGAGACUGAAGCAGCCUGACGCAGGAUCAAGAGAAGCUGCUGGUAUCAAUCUCACAUACUGAAUAUUAGUAAAGCUCAAAUUUCAAGUUUAAGGAAGAUUAGCCCUGAGCUAACUGCUGCCAAUCCCCCUCUUUUUGCUGAAGAAGACUGGCCCUGAGCUAACAUCCAUGCCCAUCUUCCUCUACUUUAUAUGUGGGACACCUACCACAGUGUGACGUGCCAAGUGAUGCCAUGUCUGCACCCAGGAUCUGAACUGGUGAACCCCGGGCCACCAAAGCAGAACAAUGUGAACCCAACUGCUGUGCCACCAGCCCGGCCCCUUUAGUCCAAUUCUUAACUCUUGUUUUUUCCUCAGAUCAUCUUGGUGGUUAUGAAAUUUCACAUGAUUUGUCUAGAUUUUUUUUUUCAUGAAACAGAAGGUAGGUCACUUCCUCUCAUUCAUUUCUCACCUGUCUCCCUGUCUUAUUUUGUACCUGUACCUUUUUACUGGUCUUACUUCUUUUAUUCUGGGUGAUUUUAACAUCAACAAUGUGGAUGGUUCAUCCACUACCCUUGAUAAUACCUCUGACAGAUGCUGCACCUGUUAGUCAUUCCUCUUUCCUUGCUAAGAGAAGCCCAGGUCUGCUCAGGUAUUCAGUGCUCAUCUGCUUCCUCAACUCCUCCCCAGCCCAAAGAGGCAAUUUGUGCAUGUUGCUCAGCCUAAAUUCAAUUGUGUUAGUUCUGUUCUCCUGGCCAGUGAUUGUUUUUUGGCAUGGUGACACGUCAGAGAAAGUCUCCUGGGAGUCUGGCUUCCUUCACUUUAUGAAGACACACUCCUUCUUCUGGAUGUGGUCAAGUAAGGGCAUGACACUUAGAGCUGUUGCAGCCAUCUCGGGUCAUUGAGAAGAAACUGAGAUGAUGAAUGACCUUCAACUCAAAAUUGUCUGAAAUUGAAUUCCUAACCUCAAGUCCUCCCUUCCCCAAAUUUUUCACUCCAUCUUUCCAGUUGCUUAGGCCAAAAGUCUUGCCAUUAUCCCUAACUUUAUUCUUUCCCUCAUAGCCUAUAUUCUAUUUGUUAGAAGACCCUGUAAGCUCCCUCUUUAAAUUACGCUUACAGGGGCCGGCCCCAUAGCCGAGUGGUUAAGUGCGCGCGCUCCACUUUGGCGGCCCAGGGUUUUACUGGUUUGGAUUCUGGGUGCGGACAUGGCAUCGCUCAUCAAGCCACACUGAGGUGGCAUCCCACAUGCCACAACUGGAAGGACCCACAACUAAAAAUACACAACUAUGUACCAGGGGGGCUUUGGGGAAAAAAAGGAAAAAUAAAAUCUUAAAAAAAAAAUUAUAUUUACAAUCUCACUACUUUUUCCUGUUUAUACCACUACCAUCCUGGUCCAAGCCACUACCAUUUCUUGCUGGGUUACUGCAAUAGAGCAGUGCCUUUCCAGGGAAUUUAUGUAGGGCUCCAGUAGACAGACCGGUGGAUCACCAAUAGGCCACUUUUGACGUCAGAUUCACUUAGGAGGAUAUGGGACAGGAAACACAGCUUACCCGCAGGGAGGCAUCAGAUGUUCUCUUUCUUUGGGGUCCUCGUGGCAGUCCACAAAGAGAACAGCCAGAAUUGUUCUCUAUGACUCUCCUCUCCUUCCAGAUGAAGCUUGGCUGUUAGUAAUGAGGCUUACAUGAGUGAGUAUGUAAUUAACCUGGCUUAGGAACCCCAUGUUCCACAAAAGCCAUUGUCUUGUAUAACAACCCAUGAGCAUAGUUUCCAGGAUCCCUACAAGGUGCGUGCCCAAUUACAAGAGUCACCACACUAAGAGAAGCACAAACUUGUGGCCACUCACCAGGUGUUUAAAGUUCCUCUCAGUUCCAAGCAAUUUACCAAUAGGUCAUUUUUACCGUAAGCAGUGUUGCCUAGUAACACAGCUGACAUUCUGCCUGUAUGGUUUCCAGGGGAACAGAGCUAGAAAGUUAACUGAAUCCAAGAGCAGUUUCUUAUGCUGGAAGACAAGGGUUUUGCUAACACUUCAGUCACAAAUAGCCUCCUCCUGAGAGGUCCCCUGCUUCUGUGCUUCCCCCCUACAGUCUGUUCUUUAUACAGUAGCCAGACAAUCCUUUCAAAUGUACCAUGCUCAUGUUACUCUUUCUGCAAACCCUCUAGUGGCUCCCCAGCUCAUUUAGAGCACUGUUGUCUACAGGCCCCACCUGAGUUGGCCCCUAGCUACCUCUCUGAUCCUUUUUUCCUAGUACUCUUUCUCUCGUUCAUCUGCUCUAAUCGCCCUGGAUCUUGCUCUAAGGUGCCAGGCAUGUUCCUGCCUUAGGGUCUUUGUGUUGGCUCUUCCCCAUGGCUGGAACACUCCUACUCCUGGUGUCCACUUGGCUGACUCUCUUUCUUUCUUCCAGCUUUUGUCUCAUUGAUUUUUCUCUAUUAAUUUCAUGUUUUCACUUUUAUUGAUUUCUGUUUGAUUUUUCUUUUCUUUCUGUCCUUUCUUUUGAGGAAGAUUAGCCCUGAGCUAACAUCUACCACCAAGCCUCCUCUUUUUGCUGAGGAAGAUGGGCCCUGAGCUAACAUCCGUGCCAUCUUCCUCUACUUUAUAUGUGGGAUGCGUGCCACAGCAUGGCUUGACAAGUGGUGUGGAGGUUCGCUCCCAGGAUCUGAACCAGCG